rnacentral:tRNA from 1 species
GCAUUGGUGGUUCAGUGGUAGAAUUCCCACCUUCUGUGUGGGGGACGUGGGUUCGAUUCCCGGGCAACGUA